CCUACGGGAGGCAGCAGUGGGGAAUAUUGCACAAUGGGGGAAACCCUGAUGCAGCGACGCCGCGUGAGUGAAGAAGUAUUUCGGUAUGUAAAGCCCUAUCAGCCGGGAAGAAAAAAGACGGUACCUGACUAAGAAGCCCCGGCUAACUACGUGCCAGCAGCCGCGGCAAUACGGAGGGGGCAAGCGUUAUCCGGAUUUACUGGGUGUAAAGGGAGCGUAGACGGUGCGGCAAGUCUGGAGUGAAAGGCAGGGGUUUAACCCCGGAACUGCUUUGGAAACUGCGAUGCUAGAGUGCUGGAGAGGUAAGUGGAAUUCCUGGUGUAGCGGUGAAAUGCAUAGAUAUUAGGAGGAACACCAGUGGCGAAGGCAGCUUACUGGACAGUAACUGACGUUGAGGCUCGAAAGCGUGGGGAGCGAACAGGAUUAGAUACCCUGGUAGUC
rnacentral:rRNA from 1 species